rnacentral:rRNA from 1 species
GAUGAACGCUGGCGGCGUGCCUAAUACAUGCAAGUCGAGCGAACAGACGAGGAGCUUGCUCCUUUGACGUUAGCGGCGGACGGGUGAGUAACACGUAGGUAACCUACCUAUAAGACUGGGAUAACUUCGGGAAACCGUAGCUAAUACCGGAUAAUAUUUCGAACCGCAUGGUUCGAUAGUGAAAGAUGGCUUUGCUAUCACUUAUAGAUGGACCCGCGCCGUAUUAGCUAGUUGGUAAGGUAACGGCUUACCAAGGCAACGAUUCGUAGCCGACCUGAGAGGGUUAUUCGCCCCACUUGAACUGAGACACCGGCCCGACCCCCUCCGGAGGCAGCAGUAGGGAAACUUCCGCAAUGGGCGAAAGCCUUACGGAGCAACGCCGGCGGAGGUAUGAAGGUCUUCGGAUCCUUAAACCCUUUUAUUAGGGAAGAACAAACGUGUAAGUAACUGUGCCCAUCUUGACGGUACCUAAUCAGAAAGCCACGGCUAACUACCGG